AACGAACGCUGGCGGCGCGCCUAAUACAUGCAAGUCGAGCGAGAAGACGUAGCAAUACGUUUGUAAAGCGGCGAACGGGUGAGGAAUACAUGGGUAACCUACCCUCGAGUGGGGAAGUAACUAGCCGAAGGUUAGCUAAUACCGCGUACGCUCCUUGGACUUCGGUUCAGGAGGAAAGCGAUACCGUGGGUAUCGCGCUCUUGGAUGGGCGUCAUGUCCUAUCAGCUUGUUGGUGAGGUAACGGCUCACCAAGGCUUCGACGGGUAGGCUGGUCUGAGAGGACGGAUCAGCCACACUGGCACUGCGACACGGGCCAGACUCCUACGGGAGGCAGCAGUAAGGAAUAUUGCGCAAUGGGCGAAAGCCUGACGCAGCGACGCCG
rnacentral:rRNA from 1 species